UGCACCCAUCGCAAUUGGUUUCAUUGUAGGAGCAAAUAUUUUGGCGGGAGGGGCAUUCGACGGAGCAUCGAUGAACCCAGCGGUGUCGUUUGGACCAGCCUUGGUGAGCUGGAGCUGGGACAACCACUGGGUGUACUGGGCUGGGCCACUCAUCGGUGGUGGACUUGCUGGGGUCGUUUAUGAGUUGUUGUUCAUCGGACACAACACCCACGAGCAGCUCCCCUCCACUGACUACUAAACCAGCCGCGGUGGUGGUGGUGCAUGGAUGAUGGGGGUGACUCGGCUUUCUUUCUUUGGUUUUUUUUUUUUUAUCUUUCGAGGGUAAUUAUUUAUCCCGUGUUUAAUCUAUGAUCGUUGAUCUUUUCUCCAACACUAUCAUCCAAGGGUGUGUGAUUUGUGUGUUCUGCUCCUGUUGUAUUAUUCCUUUUUUAACUAGUCAUCUUAACCUUUUUUUUUUCUCUGAGCGGUUCCCAAUUUCACGUCUUUUUCACCUUUAAUUCAUUUAAUUAAAAAUUAAAAAAAAAUUCAAAUUUUAUAAUAACACUCAUAUUGUAUAUACCCGCGUCGCAAGAACUACUCUUGCAUGAGAUGAGGCGCAAGCAUUUGCAUUACUGUAUGGUGCAGUGUGAAAAGACGACCCAACUUAACGUUUUGCUAAUUGGAGGACAAGAGGGAAGCUGAUUUUCUUGCCUUCACUGACCACUGCUGCGCCUUUGCACCUGGAGAUUCCUUCCCUUACCCGCCAACCAUGAUUCAUUAUACAAAAGAAGGAGCAGAGCACGUGAAGCUUUGAUCAGUUUUUGUUGGUCCCUCCAUUUCUCGUUGUCGUGUCCUGUCCAAUAAUUCACUCCCUUUGAGGUUAUAGCUGCUCACGGGCCGGUUUUUGGUGGAAACCACCGGCUCACUUCACAGUCUAGUUUAAUCUUAGUUCAAAAAUAAUCUGAUUCAAAAU
rnacentral:misc_RNA from 1 species